GGGCUUAGCAUAUCAAUAAGCGGAGGAAAAGAAACCAACAGGGAUUGCCCCAGUAACGGCGAGUGAAGCGGCAACAGCUCAAAUUUGAAAUCUGGCCCCCGGGCCCGAGUUGUAAUUUGUAGAGGAUGCUUCGGGCGCGGCGCCUUCAGAGUCCCCUGGAACGGGGCGCCACAGAGGGUGAGAGCCCCGUACGGUUGGACGCCUAGCCCGUGUGAAGCUCCUUCAACGAGUCGAGUAGUUUGGGAAUGCUGCUCAAAAUGGGAGGUAAGUUCCUUCUAAAGCUAAAUACUGGCCAGAGACCGAUAGCGCACAAGUAGAGUGAUCGAAAGAUGAAAAGCACUUUGAAAAGAGGGUUAAAUAGCACGUGAAAUUGCUGAAAGGGAAGCGCUUGUGACCAGACGCGCGCCGGGCGGAUCAUCCAGCGUUCUCGCUGGUGCACUCCGCCCGGCGCGGGCCAGCGUCGGUUCUCGCGGGGGGGCAAAGGCGCCGGGAACGUAGCUCCUCCGGGAGCGUUAUAGCCCGCGCUCACGCCCCCGCGGGGACCGAGGUCCGCGCCCUGCAAGGACGCUGGCGUAAUGGUCACCGGCGACCCGUCUUGAAACACGGACCAAGGAGUCAAGGUUUUGCGCGAGUGUACGGGUGGCAAGCCCGCACGCGUAAUGAAAGUGAACGUAGGUGGGAGCUCCGGCGCACCACCGACCGAUCCUGAUGUUCUCGGAUGGAUUUGAGUAAGAGCGCAGUGCCUUGGACCCGAAAGAUGGUGAACUAUGCCUGUAUAGGGUGAAGCCAGAGGAAACUCUGGUGGAGGCUCGCAGCGGUUCUGACGUGCAAAUCGAUCGUCAAAUAUGGGCAUGGGGGCGAAAGACUAAUCGAACCAUCUAUGCG
rnacentral:rRNA from 1 species